rnacentral:rRNA from 1 species
ACGGAGGCAGCAGUGGGGAAUAUUGCACAAUGGGGGAAACCCUGAUGCAGCGACGCCGCGUGAAGGAAGAAGUAUCUCGGUAUGUAAACUUCUAUCAGCAGGGAAGAUAAUGACGGUACCUGACUAAGAAGCCCCGGCUAACUACGUGCCAGCAGCCGCGGUAAUACGUAGGGGGCAAGCGUUAUCCGGAUUUACUGGGUGUAAAGGGAGCGUAGACGGAGUGGCAAGUCUGAUGUGAAAGGCAAGGGCUCAACCUUUGGACUGCAUUGGAAACUGUCAAUCUUGAGUGCCGGAGGGGUAAGCGGCAUUCCUAGUGUAGCGGUGAAAUGCGUAGAUAUUAGGAGGAACACCAGUGGCGAAGGCGGCUUACUGGACGGUAACUGACGUUGAGGCUCAAAAGCGUGGGGAGCAAACAGGAUUAGAUACCCUGGUA